AUUAUGGAUCCCCAUUAGUUCCUUCCAAGACAGUAGCUACACUUCAAAUCAAAUCAAAUCAAAUCAAAUCAAAUCAAAUGUUAUUUGUCACAUACACAUGGUUAGCAGAUGUUAAUGCGAGUGUAGCGAAAUGCUUGUGCUUCUAGUUCCGACAACCCCCCCCACCCCCCCCACACCCCCCCCCCCCUUUGGGCCCUUGUACUACUGAUGCUGGAACUACAGCCAAACCAGGUACUACUGAUGCUGGAACUACAGCCAAACCAGGAAUUACCGAUGCUGGAACUACAGCCAAACCAGAAUUACCGAUGCUGGAACUACAGCCAAACCAGGAAUUACCGAUGCUGGAACUACAGCCAAACCAGAUACUACCGAUGCUGGAACUACAGCCAAACCAGAUACUACUGAUGCUGGAACUACAGCCAAACCAGAGGCAAUUGGUUUUAAAGUGGCUAGUGAUAAUUUUUACAUCAAUUUCCAUUAUUAAA
rnacentral:lncRNA from 1 species